GACGAACGCUGGCGGCGUGCUUAACACAUGCAAGUCGAACGGAAAGGCCCUGCUUUUGCGGGGUGCUCGAGUGGCGAACGGGUGAGUAACACGUGAGUAACCUGCACUUGACUUUGGGAUAACUUCAGGAAACUGGGGCUAAUACCGGAUAGGAGCUCCUGCUGCACGGUGGGGGUUGGAAAGUUUCGGCGGUUGGGGAUGGACUCGCGGCUUAUCAGCUUGUUGGUGGGGUAGUGGCUUACCAAGGCUUUGACGGGUAGCCGGCCUGAGAGGGUGACCGGCCACAUUGGGACUGAGAUACGGCCCAGUCUCCUACGGGAGGCAGCAGUGGGGAAUAUUGCACAAUGGGCGGAAGCCUGAUGCAGCAACGCCGCGUGCGGAAUGACGGCCUUCUGGGUGUAAACCGCUGUCGCCUGUGACGAAGCGUGAGUGACGGUAAUGGGUAAAGAAGCACCGGCUAACUACGUG
rnacentral:rRNA from 1 species